GACGUAACAUAUCAUUUCACAUCAAGCCUGGUCGAACGCCUGACAGAACGCAGUUUACCGUUGAUGAUGAUUACCAUUUUGUUCAACAUGCCCGUUUUCAAUACACAAACUAUGAGAACUGCGCCGUCAUGGAGCAACCCUUUAGAGGUGUGCGGGAGUGUGUAUUGUGGACUACGCAAGACACUUUUCAUGAAAUGCCCGAAGAUUGCAUGCUAGAGUACGGGAAGAGCUGUAAGGAUGCAGUGAAGCCUUAUGACGAAGAAAUCUGUGCUGAAUUUGUUCCAUAGGACAUCCUUUGUUGUGCAUUUGUCAUCAGCUCUGACAAGUUGUCAAUAAAUUCAAUAAAUGAAGGCCAGCCAGAAUGUA